rnacentral:rRNA from 1 species
UUAAACGGUAGGGUAUUGGCCUACCGUGGCAAUGACGGGUAACGGGGAACUAGGGUUCGAUUCCGGAGAGGGAGCCUGAGAAACGGCUACCACAUCUAAGGAAGGCAGCAGGCGCGCAAAUUACCCAAUCCUAGUACAGGGAGGUAGUGACAAGAAAUAACAAUACAGGACUUUUUGGUUUUGUAAUGGAAUGAGUAAAAAAUC